GGUGUAUAAACUGGCUGUUGCGUUGACGUUACUUGUUGCGAUGCUCGUAUCGUAGCUGAAGCUGGCCGAGGUGUAUAAACUGGCUGUUGCGUUGACGUCACUUGUUACGAUGCUCGUAGCGUUACCAUAGAAUAUAUAAUCGACCAGAAGUCUCACUGUACACCUUUCCUUAACAUUUUCGUGUCCGCGAUUUUCGCCUUGCGGAUCACGAAUUUCGCACGCUAGAUGACGUGUGUGACACUUGCUGCGAACAUCACGUCAGCGUUCGUCAGCAAAACGGUUAAAACAGCAAUCUUUAUUACCUGGUAAUGGCAAUUGAUGGCGUAAUUGCUCGCGUUUGAUGGCGUGGAUUACACUUGCUGGCUCGCGCCUGCGCAUAAAAAAUCUCGGACAUAAUUUUGGCUGAGUGAGGCUUCUGGUCUUAUUUUCUAUUCUGUGGCGUUAC